GUCGGACGGUAGCAGGUCCUUCGGGAUGCUGACGAGUGGCGAACGGGUGAGUAAUGUAUCGGAACGUGUCUGGUAGUGGGGGAUAACACAUCGAAAGAUGUGCUAAUACCGCAUACGACCUUAGGGUGAAAGCAGGGGACCCUUCGGGGCCUUGCGCUAUUGGGGUGGCCGAUAUCGGAUUAGCUUGUUGGUGGGGUAAAGGCCUACCAAGGCGAUGAUCCGUAGCUGGUUUGAGAGGACGACCAGCCACACUGGGACUGAGACACGGCCCAGACUCCUACGGGAGGCAGCAGUGGGGAAUUUUGGACAAUGGGGGCAACCCUGAUCCAGCCAUUUCGCGUGUGUGAUGAAGGCCUUCGGGUUGUAAAGCACUUUUGGCGGGGAAGAAACGGCGGGCUCUAAUACAGCUUGCUAAUGACGGUACCCGCAGAAUAAGCACCGGCUAACUACGUGCCAGCAGCCGCGGUAAUACGUAGGGUGCGAGCGUUAAUCGGAAUUACUGGGCGUAAAGGGUGCGCAGGCGGUUUGGCAAGAGAGAUGUGAAAUCCCGGGGCUUAACCUCGGAACUGCAUUUUUAACUGCCAGACUAGAGUGUGUC
rnacentral:rRNA from 1 species